CGCGGCAGCUGCGCACCGGGAGCCGUGGCCACCAGCGCGCAGGGCCCGGGCGCCCGAGGCGCCAGAAUCCUCUCACCCACCCACAAAAUGACGUGUGUGUUCAGAACAGCCCAUGAUUAUGUAUGUACAGAUGUAACAAGAACAUUUAUUUCACCGCUGCCAAGUCUGACCUACAAGGGAAGAUGAACAAUGACCUCUCAGAGAUAAUCCAGUGACACCAUGGACUCAUCAAGGGGACUUUGCCAAGGAAAAGCUUCCCCUUAACGACACAUUGGAAAGAAACCAGGCCGAUGUCACCCAGACAACACUGCACAUUGGCUUGCAUACUUUGAUGAAAUAAGUGGCCACAAGGCAAAGAACUAAGGGCAGUCUCCAAUCAAAAAACUAUGAAGGACCUGAAACCCUCAGUCAAACGGUUCUUCAGGAACUGAAUUCUGCCAACAAUUUGAAUGAGCUUAGAAGUGGACCCUUCCCCAGUUGAGCUUUCAGAUGAGACCACAAUUGCAGCCUUCUAAGGAACCCUAAAACAGAGGGUAUCAGCUAAGCUGUUGCCAGACUCAUGAUGCAAAGAAACUGUGGGUUAAUAAA